rnacentral:rRNA from 1 species
AGUGAACGCUGGCGGUAGGCCUAACACAUGCAAGUCGAGCGAAUGGAUUAAGAGCUUGCUCUUAUGAAGUUAGCGGCGGACGGGUGAGUAACACGUGGGUAACCUGCCCAUAAGACUGGGAUAACUCCGGGAAACCGGGGCUAAUACCGGAUAACAUUUUGAACCGCAUGGUUCGAAAUUGAAAGGCGGCUUCGGCUGUCACUUAUGGAUGGACCCGCGUCGCAUUAGCUAGUUGGUGAGGUAACGGCUCACCAAGGCAACGAUGCGUAGCCGACCUGGGAGGGUGAUCGGCCACACUGGGACUGAGACACGGCCCAGACUCCUACGGGAGGCAGCAGUAGGGAAUCUUCCGCAAUGGACGAAAGUCUGACGGAGCAACGCCGCGUGAGUGAUGAAGGCUUUCGGGUCGUAAAACUCUGUUGUUAGGGAAGAACAAGUGCUAGUUGAAUAAGCUGGCACCUUGACGGUACCUAACCAGAAAGCCACGGCUAACUACGUGCCAGCCGCCGCCGUAA